rnacentral:other from 1 species
CCUGCCCUGCGUUGUUCGUGAUUUUCAAAAAAGUCUCGAGCCAACACCCGGGAAUAGGGAGCUCGGACUCUGUCGCAGGCGCGGUCGCGGCCUUGCCCGAGGACCAGCCUCGCCCAGGAGAGCACCCACUUUGUUUUCGGGUUCGCAGACUUGAGAAAACACGACACUCGCGGGGCGCUC